AUUCAAAGCAUAGCACCCUUCGGCUUCAGAGAAGCUCCAGCCCUGUUGUCACCAAGCAGGUUCCCCCUAGGCAGAGCGCCAAGAAGCAGCCCAGGCGAUCCCAAGGCGCACAAGUGCUCUCACCAGGCUGCGCGCUGGCGGGUCGGUGCACAGGGACGGGGUCGCCGCCCACGCGCGCUUGGUUCAGGGAGCCCAGGCUGUCCCUACCCGCGGCUACAAAAGCUCGCCGAGUCUUCCUGUCCACCCAAUCGCCCCACAUGUCAGCGGUUGGUCGCCUCGCGGUGCAGUGCUGGGCACGCGAGCCCCUCCCGCAGUCAUUCUCAGCACAAGCACCAGCCUGGAGCCCCGCAGCGACAGAGCUGAGAGCCCCCAAGCCGCAGAGGUCGUGCGGAGCAGGUAGAUUCUAGUAUUACCUUCCUUUUUCAGAAGAGGAGACCAAUGGGGAGCAUUGGAAUGAUUUGGUUGCAAGCAUACUACACUACUUGUAAACUGCAGACACAGGCUUAAAAAAAGUGAAAAACUAACCAUGCAAUAAAGAAUGGAAUGAACCAUGAAGCUGUUUCUGUGGCCAGUCAUGUUUUUGAAGCAUAUCCCAUGCUAAUUUCUAGAACAGAAGAAACACACGUGUUCUUGUGUGUAAACCCAGUCCAUGGAAGAGACCGUCUGCUUGUCCCUCCUGAUCUCUGGGCCCAGACAACCAGUAGUCACCAUUCCAAGUGAGGGGUGGCUGCAACUCUACAGCCCCGUUCGUCUCUCCUCACUGUCAAAGCUGCUGAGACCCCAGACUCGACACUUGAAAGAAACCCAUGUCUGUGAAGCACUUGUGGACCAUUCAAGAUUGUGGAAGAAUCACUCAAGAGAAGGAGAUAGCAAUAUUUGCAGAUAUGCAAACUGGCCCCUUGCAUGCACAUCCUGGAGCACGUCCUGGAGCCUUUAGAGGAGACGGCUGCUGCUGUUCCAGUCUCUCCUUAGGCAGACUUGAGUUUCUACCCACUCUUCCCAAGCAGCCGCCCCUCCGCACCCGAGCGAGCCAAAGACCUGGCGGGCUGAGUACUCACUGCGCGCUGGACACAUGCUGAGCCGGCACUGCAGGGACACAGGGCGAGCCGCUGGAUGCAGACCUGUGGCCGCGGCAGUUGGGCUUAUCUUGCCCAUGAAGUUGCCUCUGAAGAACCAAGUCCAACUGUGUAUGCUGAGAGAUGUCUGGCUACUUCCUGAUUGACAGUUCUGGCAAGGUGGCAUUGGGCCCUGGCUUUUCCUCUGGAGGCAUCAUCACUUAUAGGAAAAUGUCCCCUGAAGUCCAAGGAUCAAAGCUGCUGGAACACUGAGAAGCUGAACAAAGGAGAACUGUUUCUCAUCAAACCCAGACUUCCAGACUUCCAAUAGGGUAGAAUGAGCAAGUCAGCAAAUCAUCUUCCUUGGAAACAGUGAUAAAACUAGAUGACAUUGUCAACAACAGCCAUUUCAGAAAUCUAGAAAAUGACCAAAGGCAAACAACAAACUGAGAAGCAUUUUUUUUUCCAUGAAAAAUCGCUCUAUUUCUGCAAAAAUAGUGGGAGUCUAUGGCUUCUCAUCCAGGGCUGUUUCUCUCCCCACCCCAGCUCAGUCAGUACAAAGGUUCUGGCAGCAUGAGGCAGACUGAACAGACCUGAAGUUUGAUUGCUGGAAGAAACUGACUCCAGGUUUGGCAGAGGGUGAGAAACCUACUCCCAGCCAUGUUGUCUGGUGACACAGUGACCUUAGGGACAAGUGAAUAGGGAAGGCCAGUGAUUCAUUAACCUGAGGUUGCAGUCCUGGUUGGGGAAAGCAUCAGAAUGGCAGAUAAGCUAGAAAUUUAGUAGGGAUAUGCUGGAAAUGAGACAACCCCAAAGGGGCUUGACCCCAAAGUUGUCCACACACCCCAGCUGCCUUCUGAGCAGAUGUAGGGAGAGACCAGAGAAGGCCUAGGCUAUCCACACAUCUCUGGCUAACCCAGGCUGUAAACCUGUGGAGGAGACACAAGAGGUGGAUUGAUUGCUAAUGGGCAUAUGGGGGAUCUUACUGGUUGAUAGGAACAUUCUCAAAUUGGAUUGUGGUGAUGCUUGCACAACUCUAAGUUUAUCCCAAAUUGCUAAAUUUUACACUAAAAAGGGGUGAACUUUAGGGUAUAUAAAUUAUACAUCAAUAAAGUUGUCAUAAAGCAUUCACAUUCUAAUAAAUGGCUCUAAGAAAUAUUGUUUUGAAAAUUUUCCUUUGGUAUAUUAUGGCACUCCAAAAUCAACUUCUGUCAGAACAAUAAUUAACUAUUUCUGAUUAUAGAUAUUGGUCAUCUACAAUGAUUUAUUCAGUCUUUUAUGUCCCGCAUAAGGGCUUAGAAUGCUUUAAAUUUCUAAGACCAUCAAUAGCCAGGACUCACCUGAAAACUAUAUAUAUUUUUAAAAAGACGUAUGCUCUGGGACACCAUAUGCUAACAUUUGUUGAGCACACAGUUUGCUACAGAGGUUAAGAGGUGUACUAUUUAAAUCUAACUUCCUCAAGGGGCUCACACUAUUACAAUAGUAAGCUAAAGAGAUAGAAGAAAAGUUUAUAUAUAAAAUCUCAGUACAGGGAUGGGGUUGGUAACAAAUAAGAUGCUGCCACUUACACUUGAUAAAUUAUAAAAUAUCUAUUGCAUUCAUUAUUGGAGGCUGACCCUUAUAAAAACCUUGUGGGUACUGCAAAAGACAGGGAAACCGAGGCUCAGAGUGGUUCAGCAACUUGUGUGAGGUCACAUACCUCAUGUCAAAGCUGAGAUUUAAAUGUGUGUGGCUAGGCUGGACAUGGUGGCUCACACCUGUAAUCCUAGCACCCUGGGAGGCUGAGGUGGAACACACUCCUUGUUUGUGUCCAGGAGUUCAAGACCAGCCUGGACAACAUAAUGAGACCUCAUCUCUACAAAAAAUAAAAAAUUAGCUGGGUGUGGGGCCACGCACCCCAAGGUUCUCAGGAGGCUGAGGCAGGAGGACUGCUUGAAAUCAGGAGGUUGAGCCUGCAGUGAGCUGUGAUCAUGCCACUGCACUCUGCCUGGGUGACAGAGUGAGACCCUGUCUCAAAAAAAUAAAAAUAAAAACAAAUAAAUGUGUGUGGCUGAUUCUCAUGCAAAUAUUGGUGAAGAUCUGGUAGUGAUGUAAAUUGGUAGAACCUCAGUGGGAGAUAACUUUGCAAUAGCUAUCAAAUGAAAACUGUGUAUAUUCUUUGUUUCAGGAAUUUCACUUCUAAGAUGUUUUUAAUAUAGCAGAAAUGGUUAUCCAUAAAGAAUUAGUUCAAUACAUUUUAUCUGUAAAAUGGAAUGCAAUGCGGCCAUUAAAAAGGAGGCAUAUCUGAGUAUACUAAUAUAGAAUGGUCUGCAAGAUAUAUUAACUUUUUUACAAAAGCUGUUCCCCACACUUCUUCGUGUUGUUUGAAAAGACGUGAAGGCUCAGACAGGCCUUCAUUGUGACUUGCCCAGGAUGAGUAGCAGGGCUGGAAUUCCUACUCAGGAGUCCAGAUUUAUAGGCUUCCUCUUUGCUUUAUCCUAUUUCAUAGCUGUCUCUGUUGCCAGAGCCAUGGAAGG
rnacentral:lncRNA from 1 species